GGAGGGAUGGCCGAGCGGACUAAGGCGAUGGUCUUGAAAACCAUUGUGGGGCAACCCACCGGGGGUUCGAAUCCCCCUCCCUCCGCCU
rnacentral:tRNA from 1 species